rnacentral:rRNA from 1 species
GACGAACGCUGGCGGCGUGCUUAACACAUGCAAGUCGAACGGAAAGGCCCUGCUUUUGUGGGGUGCUCGAGUGGCGAACGGGUGAGUAACACGUGAGUAACCUGCCCUUGACUUUGGGAUAACUUCAGGAAACUGGGGCUAAUACCGGAUAGGAGCUCCUGCUGCAUGGUGGGGGUUGGAAAGUUUCGGCGGUUGGGGAUGGACUCGCGGCUUAUCAGCUUGUUGGUGGGGUAGUGGCUUACCAAGGCUUUGACGGGUAGCCGGCCUGAGAGGGUGACCGGCCACAUUGGGACUGAGAUACGGCCCAGACUCCUACGGGAGGCAGCAGUGGGGAAUAUUGCACAAUGGGCGGAAGCCUGAUGCAGCAACGCCGCGUGCGGGAUGACGGCCUUCGGGUUGUAAACCGCUUUCGCCUGUGCCGAAGCGUGAGUGACGGUAAUGGGUAAAGAAGCACCGACUAACUACGUG